rnacentral:ncRNA from 1 species
CGUAAAAGGCAAACCGGCCGAAAGACCGGGACGCAAAGCUUUGGAGGCUAAGGCGUCACAGCGCGCUAUGCCCGUCCGGCCGCCA